rnacentral:rRNA from 1 species
GUACAAGCCAAAUUAAGGUGAAACCGCGAAAGGCUCAUUAAAUCAGUUAUGGUUCCUUAGAUCGUACCCACAUUUACUUGGAUAACUGUGGUAAUUCUAGAGCUAAUACAUGCAAACAGAGCUCCGCCCGGAGACGGAAGGAGUGCUUUUAUUAGAUCAAAACCAAUCGGUGGCGGGCUUGCUCGUCAUCGUACAUUUUGGUGACUCUGAAUAACUUUUUGCUGAUCGCACGGUCUCGCACCGGCGACGCAUCUUUCAAAUGUCUGCCUUAUCAACUGUCGAUGGUAGGUUCUGCGCCUACCAUGGUUGUAACGGGUAACGGGGAAUCAGGGUUCGAUUCCGGAGAGGGAGCCUGAGAAACGGCUACCACAUCCAAGGAAGGCAGCAGGCGCGCAAAUUACCCACUCCCGGCACGGGGAGGUAGUGACGAAAAAUAACGAUACGGGACUCAUCCGAGGCCCCGUAAUCGGAAUGAGUACACUCUAAACCCUUUAACGAGGAUCAAUUGGAGGGCAAGUCUGGUGCCAGCAGCCGCGGUAAUUCCAGCUCCAAUAGCGUAUAUUAAAGUUGUUGCGGUUAAAAAGCUCGUAGUCGAAUCUGUGUCCCGCGCCGUCGGUUCAUCGCUCGCGGUGUUCAACUGACGUGCCGCGGGACGUCCUGCCGGUGGGCUUAGCUCGUCCGCGGGCGGCCCAACUUCAAAUCCCACCGCGGUGCUCUUGACUGAGUGUCGAGGUGGGCCGGCACGUUUACUUUGAACAAAUUAGAGUGCUUAAAGCAGGCUAAAAUUUCGCCUGAAUACUGUGUGCAUGGAAUAAUGGAAUAGGACCUCGGUUCUAUUUUGUUGGUUUUCGGAACUCCGAGGUAAUGAUUAAUAGGAACGGAUGGGGGCAUUCGUAUUGCGACGUUAGAGGUGAAAUUCUUGGAUCGUCGCAAGACGGACAGAAGCGAAAGCAUUUGCCAAAAACGCUUUCAUUGAUCAAGAACGAAAGUUAGAGGUUCGAAGGCGAUCAGAUACCGCCCUAGUUCUAACCAUAAACGAUGCCAGCUAGCGAUCCGCCGACGUUCCUCCGAUGACUCGGCGGGCAGCUUCC